AUUGUCAACAUUAAAGGAUUCCAAAACUCGGUACAAGCAAAAAUAAGAAGCUAUUACUAGUAUCUGCUCCCAAGUCGAAACUCCACUCUCUCCGCAAAAUCAGAAAAUGCUUCACACAAAGCUCUGCAAACAAGAGGCGGAUUCAAUUAUAUCAUGCAAAGUGUUGAUUUCAUCAAACAAGAUCGUGCAUAAAUGACUGUCUUGAGUUCCUACAGCAGAUUAGCUUCAACCCUUUCUACAUGGUCGAAACGGAUUGGUGCAUAGUGGAUGAAAUCAAGACAGUCUAAUCUUAGCUGAAAACCUAUGAUCGCUCUCCCAUUCUUCAUCUCUAAGAUAACACAUUCCACAUUAGCAACUCAUUAGAAUCAAACUAGCACUGUGCUGCUGUCAUUCUAAAACUGCUUGAACUAGCCUAUCUACUCAGCCAACACGUUACAGUUUGCAACGAAAAACUAAAGGAUGAUCAUAGGAAAAUUAGACAGCUAGCUUAAUGAGAUUGUUCACCUUAAACGUUGCUUGGAUAC
rnacentral:lncRNA from 1 species